rnacentral:rRNA from 1 species
UACGUAGGGGGCAAGCGUUGUCCGGAAUUACUGGGCGUAAAGCGCGUGUAGGCGGGACGACAAGUCCGGCGUGAAAGGCUUGGGCUCAACCCGAGAAGGCCGUUGGAAACUGUCGUUCUUGAGGGUCGAAGAGGCGGGUGGAAUUCCUGGUGUAGCGGUGGAAUGCGCAGAUAUCAGGAGGAACACCAACGGCGAAGGCAGCCCGCUGGGACGGUACUGACGCUAAGGCGCGAAAGCGUGGGGAGCGAACAGG